rnacentral:rRNA from 2 species
UACCCAUCCCGAACACGACCGUUAAGCCCUCCAGCGCCGAUGGUACUUGGACCGAAGGGUCCUGGGAGAGUAGGACGCCGCCAAGC